AACGCACAUGGCACUCGCGGCCUCGGCGGCGAGUAUACCUGUUUGAGCGGUGUAAUUGGUCAAAGUGAUUUGGCUUUCUCGGACGAGUUGGCCCAAAUGGAUGUGUGCUGGUGCCUGGCGCCGUGUGGCAGGGAACCUGUUCCACAGCACGGUGUCGGGCGAUGCACAGCUAACAACACCACCCUCAAAUCAGGCAAGGCUACCCGCUGAACUUAA
rnacentral:misc_RNA from 1 species